rnacentral:rRNA from 1 species
CCUACGGGAGGCAGCAGUCGAGAAUCAUUCACAAUGGGGGAAACCCUGAUGGUGCGACGCCGCGUGGGGGAAUGAAGGUCUUCGGAUUGUAAACCCCUGUCAUGUGGGAGCAAAUUAAAAAGAUAGUACCACAAGAGGAAGAGACGGCUAACUCUGUGCCAGCAGCCGCGGUAAUACAGAGGUCUCAAGCGUUGUUCGGAAUCACUGGGCGUAAAGCGUGCGUAGGCUGUUUCGUAAGUCGUGUGUGAAAGGCGCGGGCUCAACCCGCGGACGGCACAUGAUACUGCGAGACUAGAGUAAGGGAGGGGGAACCGGAAUUCGCGGUGUAGCAGUGAAAUGCGUAGAUAUCGAGAGGAACACUCGGGGCGAAGGCGGGUUCCUGGACAUUAACUGACGCUGAGGCACGAAGGCCAGGGGAGCGAAAGGGAUUAGAUACCCGGGUAGUC